rnacentral:rRNA from 1 species
CCUACGGGAGGCAGCAGUGGGGGAUAUUGGACAAUGGGGGGAACCCUGAUCCAGCGACGCCGCGUGAGUGAAGAAGUAUUUCGGUAUGUAAAGCUCUGUCAGCAGGGAAGAAAGAAAUGACGGUACCUGACCACGAAGCCCCGGCUAACUACGUGCCAGCAGCCGCGGUAAUACGUAGGGGGCAAGCGUUAUCCGGAAUUACUGGGUGUAAGGGGAGCGUAGACGGUUAAGUAAGUCUGGAGUGAAAGGCCGGGGCCCAACCCCGGGACUGCUCUGGAAACUAUUGAACUUGAGUGCAGGAGAGGUAAGCGGAAUUCCUAGUGUAGCGGUGAAAUGCGUAGAUAUUAGGAGGAACACCAGUGGCGAAGGCGGCUUACUGGACUGUAACUGACGUUGAGGCUCGAAAGCGUGGGGAGCAAACAGGAUUAGAUACCCUUGUAGUC